rnacentral:rRNA from 1 species
AUACGCGUGUGUGAUGAAGGUCUUAGGAUUGUAAAACACUUUCAGCAAGGGAAAAAAUUAAUAUAAAUAAUACUUAUAUUAACUGAUAUUACCUGCAAAAGAAGUACCGGCUAACUCCGUGCCAGCAGCCGCGGUAAUACGGAGGGUACAAGCGUUAAUCGGAAUUAUUGGGCGUAAAGAGUACGUAGGUGGUAUAUUAAGUCAGAUGUGAAAUACUUAAGCUUAACUUAAGAACUGCAUUUGAAACUAAUAAACUAGAGUUUUAUAGAGGGGAGUAGAAUUCCAAGUGUAGCGGUGAAAUGCGUAGAUAUUUGGAGGAAUACCAGAGGCGAAGGCGACUCCCUGGGUAAUAACUGACACUGAGGUACGAAAGCUUGGGGAGCAAACAGGAUUAGAUACCCUGGUAGUCCAUGCUGUAAACGAUGUCAAUUUGAAGAUUGUAAUAUUAUUCAUUUUUUAUAAUUUUCGUAGCUAACGCAUUAAAUUGACCGCCUGGGGAUUCACGACCGAAGGUUAAAACUCAAAUGAAUUGACGGGGACCCGAACAAGCGGUGGAGCAUGUGGUUUAAUUCGAUACA